CUGGUCUAGCUGUGAAGUGAAAGUAUGUGGAGCUAAAUGUGUUUUUUAUUCAGAAUUCAAAGGAGAAGCUGAGAAGCAGACAAGAGUGUGUCAUCCUACCAUAGACAACUGGAUAUACCAUGGCACUAAUACUGUAAAAGCUGCCCAGGAGAGCAUUAUGUUGCCUGGAAACGCCACUUAACAAGGUCAGAGAUAGGAGAGAGGUAAAGAGAGGCUGACAUCUCAGCCUUCACCGGUCCUCCACUGAGGCUGCCACAGCUGCUUUCUCUCCAGGGCACAGGUCAGCUGCUGUACAUGAUGUCGGCUAUGCACUGGGAGGCCAGACGGCGUCAGAGUGUUCUGGACCGCAGGAUGGCCAGAGACAAACAGAAGCUUUCGCUGUUGCAGGGCUCUGAGACCAGCUGCAAUACAACCGAAUCAAACACAACACAAGAGCAAACAGCUGGAGGCCAAUGUCCCCACUGUAAGGGCGACCUAAAGACUCCCGUCCAUCACAGUGCAAAGAUCCCCAACAGAUACUCAUCUUUACAGUACACCCAACAAUGGUGAGGAAGACAAGGAACAACACUGCUCUCAUAACCUCAAUGGAUUAUUGGACCAUGUUUGGAAGCUCUGAAACAGCAGCUCUACAUUUGGUUUUGUUGAAACUGCAUCAGAGAGAUUAUUGUGGUUCUAUAAAUGAAUGGGAUAAAUAUGAUUAAAACAUGCCUUCUCUGAAA